rnacentral:misc_RNA from 1 species
GAUGAAGAACGUAGCGAAAUGCGAUAAGUAAUGUGAAUUGCAGAAUCCAGUGAAUCAUCGAAUCUUUGAACGCACAUUGCGCCCGCCAGCAUUCUGGCGGGCAUGCCUGUUCGAGCGUCAUUUCAACCCUCGACCUCCCUUUGGGGAAGUCGGCGUUGGGGACCGGCAGCACACCGCCGGCCCUGAAAUGGAGUGGCGGCCCGUCCGCGGCGACCUCUGCGUAGUAAACCAACUCGCACCGGAACCCCGACGUGGCCACGCCGUAAAACACCCAACUUCUGAACGUUGACCUCGAAUCAGGUAGGACUACCCGCUGAACUUAAGCAUAUCAAUAAGCAGAGGA